rnacentral:misc_RNA from 1 species
AUUUCCNGUUACGAAAAUUCUUGUUUUUGACAAAAAUUUAAUGAAUAAAUAAAAUUGUUUGUGUUUGUUACCUCUGGGCCCCGAUUGCUCGAAUGCCCAAAGAAAAAGUUGCAAAGAUAUGAAAACUCCACAGUGUGUUGUAUUGAAACGGUUUUAAUUGUCCUAUAACAAAAGCACAGAAAUCUCUCACCGUUUGGAAUAGCAAGAAAGAAACUUACAGGCCUAGCAAGACCGCGCACUUAAGCGCAGGCCCGGCUGGACUCUCCAUCUCUUGUCUUCUUGCCCAGUAAAAGCUCUCAUGCUCUUGCCAAAACAAAAAAAUCCAUUUUCAAAAUUAUUAAAUUUCUUUAAUGAUCCUUCCGCAGGUUC